UCCCAGCCCAUGUUUCAGUAUAUAUAAAUAGAUGGGUUUUUAUGAAAUACAUUAAAAUUAUGUAUAUGCCUAUGUAUAAAUUAGAUGAGUUGUUAUGAAAUACAUUAUCAUGAAUGCAAAGGAUUUUAAGAAAUUACACAUGUACAAAGUCAUGUACAUUAAGGUUUCUCUUGAAUUUUACCAUAAUCAUACAUUAUUAGUUUCCAAUUAAAUUUACCAUGGACAUACAAAAAUGAAAAGGUUUCUCAUGAAAUUCACCAUAGCCAUACAUAAAUGAAAAAGGUUUCUUAUGAAAUUUACCAUAGCCAAACAUAAUUGUAAUGAUUUCUUAUGAAAUUUACCAUAGCCAUUCAUACAUGUAAAUGAAAAUGGUUUCUUAUGAAAUUUACCAUAGCCAUGCAUAAAUGAAAAGGUUUCUUAUGAAAUUUACCAUAGCCAUGCAUAAAUGAAAAUGAUUUCUUAUGAAAUUUACCAUAGCCAUGCAUAAAUGAAAAUGAUUUCUUAUGAAAUUUACCAUAGCCAUGCAUAAAUGAAAAGGUUUCUUAUGAAAUUUACCAUAGCCAUGCAUAAAUGAAAAAGGUUUCUUAUGAAAUUUACCAUAGCCAUACACAAAUGAAAAAGGUUUCUCAUGAAAUUUAUCAUAGCCAUACAUAAAUGAAAA